AACGAACGCUGGCGGCAUGCCUAACACAUGCAAGUCGAACGAGACCUUCGGGUCUAGGGGCGCACGGGUGCGUAACGCGUGGGAACCUGCACUUAGGUUCGGAAUAACUCCCCGAAAGGGGUGCUAAUACCGGAUAAUGUCUUCGGACCAAAGAUUUAUCGCCUUUGGAUGGGCCCGCGUUGGAUUAGCUGGUUGGUAGGGUAAAAGCCUACCAAGGCGACGAUCCAUAGCUGGUCUGAGAGGAUGAUCAGCCACACUGGGACUGAGACACGGCCCAGACUCCUACGGGAUGCAGCAGUGGGGAAUAUUGCACCAUGGGCGAAGUCCUGAUCCAGCUAUGCCGCGUGAGUGAUGAAGGCCUUAGGGUUGUAAAGCUCUUUUACCCGGGAUGAUAAUGACAGUACCGGGAGAAUAAGCUCCGGCUAACUCCGUG
rnacentral:rRNA from 1 species